rnacentral:rRNA from 1 species
GACGAACGCUGGCGGCGUGCUUAACACAUGCAAGUCGAACGAAGAGCGUCGGAAGCUUGCUUCUAUCAAUCUUAGUGGCGAACGGGUGAGUAACGCGUAAUCAACCUGCCCUUCAGAGGGGGACAACAGUUGGAAACGACUGCUAAUACCGCAUACGAUCUAAUCUCGGCAUCGAGGAUGGAUGAAAGGUGGCCUCUACAUGUAAGCUAUCACUGAAGGAGGGGAUUGCGUCUGAUUAGCUAGUUGGAGGGGUAACGGCCCACCAAGGCGAUGAUCAGUAGCCGGUCUGAGAGGAUGAACGGCCACAUUGGGACUGAGACACGGCCCAGACUCCUACGGGAGGCAGCAGUGGGGAAUCUUCCGCAAUGGACGAAAGUCUGACGGAGCAACGCCGCGUGAGUGAUGACGGCCUUCGGGUUGUAAAGCUCUGUUAAUCGGGACGAAAGGCCUUCUUGCGAAUAGUGAGAAGGAUUGACGGUACCGGAAUAGAAAGCCACGGCUAACUACGUG